AGAUCAGAAUGUUGGUCGUGCCUUGGUACGUACUGGCAUUAUUGGUUUCUCCCUUCUGACGAACCGUGAUGUCAUUAAUUUGGUGUCAUGGGGAAUCAGGACUGUUACUUUGAAAAGAUUAGAGUGUUUAAAGCAGGCUCACGCUUGAAUACAUUAGCAUGGAAUAAUGAAAUAGGACGUUUGAUUCCAUUUUGUCGGUUUCUAGGAUCGACGUA
rnacentral:rRNA from 1 species